rnacentral:rRNA from 1 species
GCGGGAGGCAGCAGUGGGGAAUAUUGCACAAUGGGCGAAAGCCUGAUGCAGCGACGCCGCGUGAGCGAAGAAGUAUUUCGGUAUGUAAAGCUCCAUCAGCAGGGAAGAUAAUGACGGUACCUGACUAAGAAGCACCGGCUAAAUACGUGCCAGCAGCCGCGGUAAUACGUAUGGUGCAAGCGUUAUCCGGAUUUACUGGGUGUAAAGGGAGCGUAGGCGGUUUUACAAGUCUGAUGUGAAAGCCCGGGGCUCAACUCCGGUAUUGCAUUGGAAACUGUAGAACUAGAGUGUCGGAGGGGUAAGUGGAAUUCCUAGUGUAGCGGUGAAAUGCGUAGAUAUUAGGAGGAACACCAGUGGCGAAGGCGGCUUACUGGACGAUUACUGACGCUGAGGCUCGAAAGCGUGGGGAGCAAACAGGAUUAGAUACCCUGGUA